AAAGCUCCGGCGGUUAGAGAUGGGCAUGCGGGACAUUAGCUUGUUGGUAAGGUAACGGCUUACCAAGGCUGCGAUGUCUAGGGGGUCUGAGAGGACUAUCCCCCACACUGGUACUGAGACACGGACCAGACUCCUACGGGAGGCAGCAGUGAGGAAUAUUGCGCAAUGGAGGAAACUCUGACGCAGCCAUGCCGCGUGCAGGAAUAAGGCCCUAUGGGUUGUAAACUGCUUUUAUACGGGAAGAAAUAUAUCUACGUGUAGAUAUUUGACGGUACCGUACGAAUAAGGAUCGGCUAACUCCGUGCCAGCAGCCGCGGUAAUACGGAGGAUCCAAGCGUUAUCCGGAUUUAUUGGGUUUAAAGGGUCCGCAGGCGGGAAAUUAAGUCAGUGGUGAAAUCCUACAGCUUAACUGUAGAACUGCCAUUGAUACUGGUUUUCUUGAGUACACCUGAAGUGGGCGGAAUGUGUCAUGUAGCGGUGAAAUGCUUAGAUAUGACACAGAGACACCGAUUGCGAAAGGCAGCUCACUAAAGUGUCACUGACGCUGAGGGACGAAAGCGUGGGGUAGCGAACAGGAUUAGAUACCCUGGUAGUCCACGCC
rnacentral:rRNA from 1 species